rnacentral:misc_RNA from 1 species
AAGGAAGGGAUCCCUCCUGACCAGCAGAGAUUAAUUUUUGCUGGUAAGCAAUUGGAAGAUGGCCGAACUCUUGCUGAUUAUAACAUCCAGAAGGAGUCAACACUUCACCUGGUUCUGAGGCUUAGGGGAGGAACUAUGAUCAAGGUAAAGACUCUCACUGGAAAAGAGAUUGAAAUUGACAUUGAACCCACUGAUACCAUCGAUCGGAUCAAGGAACGAGUUGAGGAGAAAGAAGGCAUUCCUCCAGUGCAGCAAAGACUUAUUUAUGCUGGGAAGCAGCUUGGGGAUGACAAAACGGCUCGUGACUACAACAUUGAGGGCGGCUCUGUGCUUCAUCUUGUGCUUGCUUUGAGGGGUGGUAGUUUUUAGAUGAUGCUUGUUACUUUCAGAAAAUCUAGUAACUGAGUAUUUGACUU